UGUCAUGCUGACAUCAGCAGUUGACUGGUCAAGUGACCAGCGGGUCCCGAACGUCAUAGGCACAAGUUUUAAUAUCGAUUAAAUAUUGAUUUAUCAGAUUAAUUUAGUGGGGGACCCGCGUGUCAUACUCUAAUUAUGUUAAUUAAUUAUUUUAACUAAUAUAUCUAUUUAUUUAUUUAAUAAAAACAUUAUUUUUAUUUUUAACUUAACUAUCGCGUGGGGCCUCCCUGUCAUAGACAGCGGGUGCAUUGGCCCCACCGGUAAGUGGUCUAAGGCUAUUUUCUCAUUUUUUUAUUAGAUACCUAACCGA
rnacentral:lncRNA from 1 species